CCCUGAGAUGCUCACCCACCUCUUAGACCCCACCUCCCCAGCCCACCUGAUGAAACCAGCUUCACCAAACAUCUGUCUCCUGCCCCUACAGAGCAAGCACUCCUCUUUCUCUCCUGGUGAGUCUACAUCAAGGACUUUCAUCAUGAAGAUCAAGAGGAGGUACUCUGUGACCAGGGACAGCUUCCCUGUUCCAAGAUGAUACUGGGAGACGGCGUUCAGUUAAGAAGCUGAGUUACUCUUUCUGUGUGAGCCUUUGGAAAUGCCAGGUAAUGGCUUCUAUACGUCUACUGCAGGAAGGCCUGUGUUGAGACUAGGGUGGAUGAGGGCUGCAGAUGGCCAAGGAGGAUGGGAGCGGCAGGAACAGAGGCUAAGAGCUGAGACCUGAGAAAGACAAGCUCAGCAUCUGGGAGAAGAAUCCCAAGAAUUUGUGGAGAUGCUACACAGACCCCUGAAGAAUUCUAUUCCCAGUUGCUAAAGGAUAGAGGUGUCCUAAACGUGGGUUGGAUCCCUGAUCUGGGAAGAUCUCACAUAUGGCAGAGCAAAUAAGCCUGUGUGCCGCAACUACUGAGCCUGUGCUCUAGAGCCUGAAAGCCACAACUACUGAAG